ensembl:lncRNA
GCAAACUUUCCGUAUUUCGCAAAACGGAGCGAAUCCGUAGCAAAUUCACGAUGCAGUUGCAAGCCGAUACUGGACACAGAGGGAGAAACAUUAAUCAUUGGACAACCUGGACAAAGCAGCAAAGAGGGACAUUAAAACAGUGGACUCUGUGCCGCAAGCGACAGCGGGUCAACCGUGCACGGCCGAUGACUGGGUCCCGGAGCCUAAAUCCUCCCCGGCUCGUGGGCUAGCUAUGUAAAGGGUGAGCUUCAGGGUGCCCGGCUUACAUGAUUUUUGGGAUUCAUCAGUACAGGUACCCAAGCUGAAAUUUUGAACUCAAAACGCUUCAAUCUGCAGUAUAAGGUUAGACCUUAACAGAAAACUGUUAACACCUCUGUAUUAAACACUGCUGUAAGGAAUUUCUUGUGAAAGGGUUGACAAGUUUAUUAAGGCAUGCUGGGCACGUUAAUCGAGGUACCAGGGUGACGGAUGGCGGCAUGACGACCCCAUGGUGUUCGCUCUGGAUCCGGCGUUUUUGCCUCGCUUAGGUUUGCUAGGUUUAAUGAUGGGUUGGUGCGUUAGUACAUUUUUGACGGCCCCUCAUACUUGCUAUGGACCGGCAAAAAUUACAUAACUGUGGUGUUUGGACAUGUGAACAAAUGUAUCUUUGGGAGUUGUUAGGUUUUCCAAUGAAGGGCAUUUUCGUUCGGAGACGGCUGACUGGCCUACCGGGCAGAUUGGAGGAAUAUGGCUGAGGUAACGUACGGACGUUAUGAUAUAAAUUUGUUUGGAAGGUGUAGGAUACGGUAUGUAGAAAGUCUGGAAACUUUAGGAAAGUUUGUGUGAGGUUUAUUGAUCUCUGUGUUGUAGUUGUUUUUGCUCAGGUUGGAUGGAUCGUCCCUCUGACUGCCCCCACCCACCUGCGGUGUUCCGCCAGGUCGAUCGCUGGGACUCCUUGGAGGUUUGCAUGGUCCCAUCCCGCCCGGCGACACUGCAUCGGUGGUGAACAUUUCCCU